rnacentral:rRNA from 1 species
ACGCCCGACACCUACGGGAGGUAGCAGUGGGGAAUAUUGCACAAUGGGGGAAACCCGUGAUGCAGCGACGCCGCGUGAGCGAAGAAGUAUUUCGGUAUGUAAAGCUCUAUCAGCAGGGAAGAAACUGACGGUACCUGGCUAAGAAGCACCGGCUAAAUACGUGCCAGCAGCCGCGGUAAUCUGAGCGGGCUGGCAAGGC